rnacentral:rRNA from 1 species
UACGUAGGGUGCAAGCGUUGUCCGGAAUUAUUGGGCGUAAAGAGCUCGUAGGCGGUUUGUCACGUCUGCUGUGAAAACUGGAGGCUCAACCUCCAGCUUGCAGUGGGUACGGGGCAGACUAGAGUGCGGUAGGGGAGAUUGGAAUUCCUGGUGUAGCGGUGGAAUGCGCAGAUAUCAGGAGGAACACCGAUGGCGAAGGCAGCCCCCUGGGCCGACAUUGACGCCUCAGGCACGAAAGCGUGGGGAGCAAACAGG